AUUCCUAGGAAAUCUGGACAAAAAGCCAAGCUCGAUCAUUGCAUCUUUUUCGAUUCCACCAUUUACGCUCGAUUCCAUCAUCGUCGAUAUUUCAGAAACUGGUUUAUCGUUUAAUGGAGCCUCGCUGCCUUUUUAAAAAUCGAUCAUCUUCGGUAAAUCUACCGAAACGAAGAAACUGGAUAUCUCGGAAAAUUGACGAACUAAGAUUUUCCACUUUGCUUAGGUUUCACCUAAGAUGGAUUUGAAAAGUUUUCUUCUCUUCCUUCGCCGCGUUAUUAACGAGAGAAGAAGCGGCUUUAAUUAUACCGAUGAUCAGUUAGAUUUUACCAGAUUUUGAGAAAUAAAGUAAUUUGGUAAUAUUCAAUAACUCGGUUAUCAUCUGGGGAUUUGAUUAUUUUAGAAUCAAAGUAAUUGUAAAUUUCUCAAAGCAGAUUAUUUAUUCCUUUUGUAUUUAACACGUACAAAUACGUGUAAAAAGCGUGGAUCGAUUUAACAAGGCAAGAAGAAAAUCCUUGUUGAUUUUCCUUUUACGAAUAAUUUAGCAUGGAUGAUAAUAAUACUGUGGAUACGAUAAAUUACAAUGUUUGAAUAUCGCACGAAAGACGUUUCCCACUUCCAACUGUCUGUUCCUCGAUAUAACAAGCACGACUGUAUGGAUAUUCAAAGCGAUCGUCCACGAGUGAAUCUUGAUGAUACGAGAGUUAAUUAAAUUUUCCGGCGGCGAUGUUUAAACGCAUCUCGAGUGUAAAGUCAACUCGAAGAAUCCUGUUUGAUCAAAGAUAAAGCUGGUACGAUGCAGACUACAUAUAUAUUUAUAUAUAUAUAUAUAUAUAUAUAUAUACAUAUAUACACUAUGGAUGGAACAUUGUUUUAUCUCGCGGAAAGAUGGAGGAACGAAGGUGGAAAUCGAUAGAAAGGAUGAAAAAUACAUCGAGCAGUUUUAUAGCGAUAUGAUUCUUCUCACCCGGCACGUUUCUCAAAUAUUUUAAUCUCGAUAAAGGUACUUGUCGAAUCGUAUAGAGAGAGAGAGAGAGAAAAAGAGAGAAUAUCUAUCAAUUAUAACUUUAGUGAUAUAAAAUAUGAUAUAGAGAUACCCUUUUACGAUGCAAUGAUGCACGACAGUGACAAAUCAAUUUCAAUAUUUUGUUAAUAAAAUAAACAUAUUUAAUUUGCCGAUACGAUAUUAAUUCAUCCGAAUUCACAGCCGAUGAAAGUAUUUUAAAUAUCUGUAUAUUGAUACAGGCGGAAACCUUCGUCCAAGUCAUUAAUCAUAUACAAAUAAAGGACACCAAAUAUUGUUCUAAUUAAUAUUCUGUCAACCGUAUUGGGUAUUCAUAUAUUCAUAACGCCGUUAUACACCGCAUUUCCAAUUACAUCGCUAGAUUUUCUCCUGCUUUAUUUCGAUUUGCAUCUCAUUGACUGCGAGUUCUUUGUCGGGCUUAAAAUAAAAAGGUUUUGCACGCGAGACAUGUACGUACGUAUAUAUAUAUACAUACAUACAUGUGCAUACAUAUGUAGAAAAUAACGGCGGUUCGAAAUAAGAAACGUUCAUGGAACGAUAUUCAAAAUAUAUCCAACGUUAUUUCUUCUUCGUUUCGUUUCAUUUGACACAAUUUUUAUCUAUUUUUUGAAUUACGAUUCGAGCCUCUGCACCGUUGUAAAUUCCAGAUAUAAAACGUAAAACGUAGCGACGCGGUUUAUUUCCAUCGUUUAAACAAAUUCCAUUCCCUUUUUAAAACGAACGGUAUUUCGCCGUCUGAGGAGGAGAGUCGUUGUCGCCUCGUCGUUCUUAUUAAACCAAACUCGAAACAUCGCACGCUGUUGUGUACUACACACGUCCAACGCGAUUCCUCUUCCGCGACAGGAAAUUCAUUGCACUCGAUAUUCCCGAUAUCUCUCCCUCUCUAUCGACCGUUAUCGAGCUUCCUCGACAACGUAUGAAUUUAUUCUCGCUUCUUUUGUCACUUAUAAAAGGUGCCCCACAUAAUACCGAAUAACCUGUAUAUUUAUGUUUUCGCCGUUUUCAAUUUCACACGUACGCGUACAAAAGAAAUGUCCUUGCAUUAUCCUCGCGACAUCCAAUUUUUUUUUCUUUCCAAUUGUCCAUCCAUCCAUGUAAGCUUUCGAGCUUGUUACACGAUCUUACGUAAUCUUAUGAAAAAGAUGGCAACUUUAUCCUUUUUACAUCACUACUUUAAGAAUUGUACAAAUAGGGAUAAUUGAUAAAACGUUGGAACGGAAGGGAGAGGUUAGCAUCUCGGAAGCUAUAAAUGAAAAAGGAAUAGCGUUAGAAAGGGCGGUAAUCUCGCCACCGUGAAUUUCACCUCGCGUGGAGCGUAGAAUUCAUUUGGUAGGCACGCGAGAGAACAAGCAGCGGGCCAAGAUUGUUGAUAGACGGAUGAAGUGAGAUAGAUGAGGAGAGUACGUAUUCUCGGAUGGGAUAACAUUAUCAUGGAUCGGCAAGCCGCCGUGCUGUGGGGAAAUGGAAAGAGUGUACGUACGUUUUUAAGCUUUUCUAAGACGAUCGUGAUCCCCUUUUCGUUGCGGCCUAAGCUUUAUCCAUUUUGCCGAUAAACGGCAUACUUCCAUCAAUUUUCCUGCCAAUCUAUAUUUCUUUCGUUUCGUCGAUGCUUCGAGAUGAUUCGCGCAAUUAACGUUCAUUCGAUAAAAUUGGCUUGGAAUUUUAUUCUUCCUCGAACGAUCGUCUCUAAAAUAAAUUUCUAAAUACACGCUCCUUAAUACAUUCGCAGCUCUCUCGAAUAUUAAUUGGCGAAAAAAUUUCGGAUAUAUCGGGGAGCCGUAAUCACGACCCCUCGUAAUUCGGCGUACAACAACAACUACCGUAAUAAUUACAUCGUGGUUGGCAUAGUUUUAAAACUGCCGAUGGACGGCCUUCCCGAUAGUUUCAUCGAUUAUUCAAACUUGAAACGAAUCGUAUAUCCAGUUUCAUAAACGCGCGGGGAUAAAAGAGAAAAGAAAAACAACAGGCGACUCUUUUUUUUGUUUUUUCUUUUUUUAUUUUUUUUUUUUUUUUUGUUCCAUUUCCCGCGCAUCAAUCACCGAAACGUCGUCAAUAUUCCAACUCUGUUCCACUUUUCGAAAAAUCCAUUUAGAGAUCAUUACGUCUUAAUAGCGGGCCGCCACUUAACGAGAUUGCAACCAAGGAAUCUGGUUCGCCGGCACGGUAACAAUGUUGUUUAUCUUUCCACGGAGGAAAAUAAACGUCUUCUCCCUGAAACUUUUUCCACUGAAAGUCGGAGAAUCAUACACAUACAAGCGCGAGAACCUUUUAUUUCAGUUAACUUCAGAGACUCCGCUCCUCCUGUCAUCUAAGAAACGAGCCACUCGUCUCCUCUUUGCUUUCUCUCUCCCUCUCUCUUUCUCUCCUCUCCACUCUGUCGUAACAAUAUCAAAAUGGAAUAACGAGAAGAAGGGAAGAUGCGAGAUGGGUGGUGACGUAUCCUCCUCGGCUCGCCUUCGAGCGUAUACCGAAAUGUGUCCUGGCAUCGAUAUUCGAAGAGUUGGCAGCUGUCGUCGCGACGAAAUGGAGGCGAGAUGGAGGGACAGGGACAGGGAUGGAGCGAAAAAGAAGCAAGUGUCAAUCGAUAUCGCUUCACCCGCGCGCUCCACGCCUAAACCGCAUCGAUAGGGUCACCUAGGAAUCGUCGUUGCACCGCGCUGUUCACCGUCCUCGCGCUUUGCUGACACAGCACUCGACGGCUCCUAUUGGCGGCCUCGUGCCUCGCUAUCGCAAUCUAUUUGCCUCUCCCCUUUGUCCCUCCCCUCCCCGGGGUUCCGAUUAAUGCGCCGCCCGUCUGUUAACAAAGAUUGUGUGUACAGUUGUCGCUCCUCGAAAAAGGGGAGACGAGAAAAAAAACAUUCUGUUUCUUCGUGAAGAUGAAAAACUUUUCUUCCCCCCUGUCUUUCCAAAUCGGAUCAUCCUCGUUCGAUCUUCUCGAAAAAUCUUAUUACCCUCCCUACCUUCCCGCGAAACUGGUCGAAACGAGUGCGUGCGUGCUUCGAAAUAAAAAAAGGAGAAAGAUAAAAUCGCCGUAAAUUGGACGACUGUUUUGCCCGUUGUAAAAAAUUCUCUUUCGUCGCGAUGAACGAGGUCUUCUCUCUCGAGAGAGAAAGAAUUUCGUAACGAUGACUCCUGUUUGCGUUUCAUAAAUGGAAAACAUGAUUCGCGAUGGGAAGGAAGAAGAGAGAGGGCAGGAGAUUCAUUCAAUCGUUCAAUUACCACCGAAUAUCUAUGAAAUAGCUAUGAAACCUCUUUAAUCGUAGUAGGAACUACGAGACCAAGGGUGAAGAUUAUCUGCAGCCGUGACAGAUCGUGGUCGAGAACAAGAAGUUCGAUGCAAACGGGUUCAAACGGAUUAAGCCCCGUUAGAGAAUCGCGCUGGGAGAUAAAGUUGAUGACGGUGAAGUUUCAUAUUCGCCUCUGAAUAACGCGUUAUGAUGUCCCUGAUGCAGAGGCAAACGAUACGCAUCGAUGGGGUGGAUGAACGGGAAUGGAAGUCCGGUUGCAAUUAGGAUUAGGAGAACGUUGGUUCAACCAACCUUGAAACUUGCAACUUUGCCAACUUUGAAAACUGUCCUCCUCGGUAAACGAAGCAAGUGAUGAAACUACUUGCAACGAGAAUGUUUUGGCGACUCCAUAGCUUUCCAAUUGAUCGAUUCUAUAAAAAGGAAUUUCGUCGAUCGACAGCUGCGCUUAUCGUCGAAGUGAAACGGUCUCGUUGAAGAUCAGGUAUCAAAUUUGAUAGAAAAUAAUGAAUUUCCAAUUCAUAUCUUUUUCUACGACCCUCUUUCUGCGAUUUAAUAAACACGCGAGAAACAUUUCCAGGAGGAUCUUUCGUUGAUCUUCAAAAAUUUUUUCAAAAAUUUCCGUAUCAUUGAUGGAUGAAUGUUUAUCGCCGAUACAUGGGAAUACAUUCGAUACUAAAAAUACAUUUCGAUCAAGCACUUCUUCCAUCAAUCGUUGGGGAGAGGGGGAGUUUAUCCAUAAGGAGGUAAGAUCAGGAAGCCAGGGGCUGUUGAUAAAAGCGGUUGUUCCCUGAAAUUCAAAUAUCUCGUAUUGUGGUAUUUGGUGCUCGUUCCACAUAGCCGAAGGCUCAUCUACCGAUCACGUUCUAUCCGACUGACUUUUCCUUCGGUUUCACGUGCACAUAAACGCGCAUCCCCGACAGUUCCCCUUCUGUUUACCACUGCAAGUUGAAUAUACGUGUGUGUGUGUGUAGCAUGCCUUCCACCGUUAACCUCGAUUGUUAACGUUUUCUCCGUUAACUUUUUUCUCCCCUUUCUUUCUCAUCUCUCUUUUUCCAUGUUUCAGAAGAGAAAAGCUUGAGAGAGGAAAAAUGCGCGCGUUCCUGUUUCGAUGAAAUUAACGAGGACGCGAGAAAGGAUCGGCCAUUCUCUCCGAGUGAUAUUGGUCUGGCCUGUCGAAGUCGGUUUCCUAUUUCACUUGACGCGGACCCAACUAUUCGCUUGUUACGCCAAGGCUAAGACAAAGGGCGCGAGGUAACGUAUUGGAUUGGAUGGCAACACUUUCGAAAACGACACGGGGACGUGUCUACUCUCCACCCUCGUGGAAUACAGAAAGAAGAAAUUUCACUCAGUCGGACUUGGAAGAAGGUAUGAUGCGAUUGAUUCGUUGUUGAAAUUCGUUCCCGAGCAAACCGUUGUCGUUGGCACCAAAAGGAUUCGAUUCUAAAGGAUUGGCGAGAUUAAGGCAUUUAAGGGAGUCCGGGUGUGCUCGAUACCGUUCGCAUUUUGCCGCAAUUUCCAAGCGGAAAGAGAGGAUUUCCAGGUUUCGUCGUCGGAGCGGCGAUCCGAAUAUUUAGGUCUGUCCUCUCGAGGGAGAGAUCGUUUCCCUAGAAGAGUUAUGAUCAUAUUUCGGCCUCUUGCAACUUGUACUUUCUGAAUAUACGUUGUCGACUAGCUCCUCGAGGAAUUAAAUGAACGGCGUAUAUAUCUUGUACCGUGAGAUUGCAUAAAACUUUGGACGGCCUUUGGUGUGCUUUUCUAUUCCUUCAACUUCGGUUACGAGUUUCUUUCAAGUUUCUCGCGAAAACAAGUAGAAGUAGUAUUUACGACAAAGAUCAACGAACACCGUUUAAAUCUAGUCAAAAAUUUGUCGAUUGAUUAUCAAAGGAUAC
rnacentral:lncRNA from 1 species